rnacentral:rRNA from 1 species
AUUGAACGCUGGCGGCAGGCCUAACACAUGCAAGUCGAGCGGCAGCGGGUCCUUCGGGAUGCCGGCGAGCGGCGGACGGGUGAGUAAUGCCUAGGAAUCUGCCUGGUAGUGGGGGAUAACUCGGGGAAACUCGAGCUAAUACCGCAUACGUCCUACGGGAGAAAGCGGGGGAUCUUCGGACCUCGCGCUACCAGAUGAGCCUAGGUCGGAUUAGCUAGUUGGUGAGGUAAAGGCUCACCAAGGCGACGAUCCGUAGCUGGUCUGAGAGGAUGAUCAGCCACACUGGAACUGAGACACGGUCCAGACUCCUACGGGAGGCAGCAGUGGGGAAUAUUGGACAAUGGGCGAAAGCCUGAUCCAGCCAUGCCGCGUGUGUGAAGAAGGUCUUCGGAUUGUAAAGCACUUUAAGUUGGGAGGAAGGGCAGUAAGUUAAUACCUUGCUGUUUUGACGUUACCGACAGAAUAAGCACCGGCUAACUUCGUGC